GAAGUGCGAUAAGCAAUGCGAAUUGCAGAACCGUGAGUCAUCAGAUUUUUGAACGCAACUGGCGCCGACUGGCUAUCCAGUCGGCAUGCUUGUUUCAGUGUCUUGUUUUCUCAUCACCCAAAUCAUAAUGUGAGAGAUACCCUUCUCUUGCUAAGUAUGAAAGCACUCUGAGCCCUGCAAGCAACUUGACUUCGGUCAAUGGUUGCACUCAAUGCAGCAGUCACAUUUUUCAAGUGUGAACUCAUUGAGAGUAGAGUCAGUGCAGAUUUAUCUGCGAGUGCUUAGCCCUCCAAACUCUUCUUGCAUCUGAAAUCAAGCAGGAUCACCCGCUGAACUUAA
rnacentral:misc_RNA from 1 species